AAGCGCAUGUGUUGUGAGCUCGAUGAGUAGGGCGGGACACGUGGUAUCCUGUCUGAAUAUGGGGGGACCAUCCUCCAAGGCUAAAUACUCCUGACUGACCGAUAGUGAACCAGUACCGUGAGGGAAAGGCGAAAAGAACCCCGGCGAGGGGAGUGAAAAAGAACCUGAAACCGUGUACGUACAAGCAGUGGGAGCACCCUUCGGGGUGUGACUGCGUACCUUUUGUAUAAUGGGUCAGCGACUUAUAUUCUGUAGCAAGGUUAACCGAAUAGGGGAGCCGGAGGGAAACCGAGUCUUAAUUGGGCGUUAAGUUGCAGGGUAUAGACCCGAAACCCGGUGAUCUAGCCAUGGGCAGGUUGAAGGUUGGGUAACACUAACUGGAGGACCGAACCGACUAAUGUUGAAAAAUUAGCGGAUGACCUGUGGCUGGGGGUGAAAGGCCAAUCAAACCGGGAGAUAGCUGGUUCUCCCCGAAAGCUAUUUAGGUAGCGCCUCGUGAAUUCAUCUCCGGGGGUAGAGCACUGUUUCGGCUAGGGGGCCAUCCCGGCUUACCAACCCGAUGCAAACUGCGAAUACCGGAGAAUGUUAUCACGGGAGACACACGGCGGGUGCUAACGUCCGUCGUGAAGAGGGAAACAACCCAGACCGCCAGCUAAGGUCCCAAAGUCAUGGUUAAGUGGGAAACGAUGUGGGAAGGCCCAGACAGCCAGGAUGUUGGCUUAGAAGCAGCCAUCAUUUAAAGAAAGCGUAAUAGCUCACUGGUCGAGUCGGCCUGCGCGGAAGAUGUAACGGGGCUAAACCAUGCACCGAAGCUGCGGCAGCGACACUGUGUGUUGUUGGGUAGGGGAGCGUUCUGUAAGCCUGUGAAGGUGUGUCGUGAGGC
rnacentral:rRNA from 1 species